rnacentral:rRNA from 1 species
GACGAACGCUGGCGGCGUGCUUAACACAUGCAAGUCGAACGGAAAGGCCUGCUUUCCCUUGUGGAUUGCGGGUACUCGAGUGGCGAACGGGUGAGUAACACGUGAGUGAUCUGCCCCCAACUUGGGUAUAAGCCUGGGAAACUGGGUCUAAUUCCCGAUAGGACUGCAGGGUGGUGCCUGUGGUGGAAAACGAUUUUCUAGUGGUUGGGGAUGAGCUCGCGGCCUAUCAGCUUGUUGGUGGGGUAAUGGCCUACCAAGGCGGCGACGGGUAGCCGGCCUGGGAGGGUGGACGGCCACAUUGGGACUGAGAUACGGCCCAGACUCCUACGGGAGGCAGCAGUGGGGAAUAUGGCGCGAUGGGCGGAAGCCUGAUGCAGCGACGCCGCGUGGGGGAUGACGGCCUUCGGGUUGUAAACUCCUUUCGACCGCGAGGAAGCCACCUGGUUGGAAGGGUGGUGACGGUAGUGGUAGAAGAAGCACCGGCUAACUACGUG